rnacentral:rRNA from 1 species
GACGAACGCUGGCGGCGUGCUUAACACAUGCAAGUCGAACGGUGAACCUCUUCGGAGGGGUUCAGUGGCGAACGGGUGAGUAACACGUGGGCAACCUGCCCCCGGCUCUGGGAUAACUCCAAGAAAUUGGGGCUAAUACCGGAUGUUCACCGCUUCCCGCAUGGGUGGUGGUGGAAAGGGUUUCCGGCUGGGGAUGGGCCCGCGGCCUAUCAGCUUGUUGGUGGGGUAGUGGCCUACCAAGGCGACGACGGGUAGCCGGCCUGAGAGGGUGACCGGCCACACUGGGACUGAGACACGGCCCAGACUCCUACGGGAGGCAGCAGUGGGGAAUAUUGCGCAAUGGGCGGAAGCCUGACGCAGCGACGCCGCGUGGGGGAUGACGGCCUUCGGGUUGUAAACCUCUUUCAGCAGGGACGAAGCGCAAGUGACGGUACCUGCAGAAGAAGCACCGGCCAACUACGUG